CGCACGCGGGUUUGCGGUCGACGGGGAGACAUCCCGGCGCUCGCUCCGGUGUUCCCAUUCCGGGAACGACGCCCGCGGAGGCUCAACCGGAAAAGGAGAACG
rnacentral:sRNA from 1 species